GACAGAGGGUGCAAACGUUGUUCGGAAUUACUGGGCGUAAAGCGUGCGCAGGCGGUUUUGUAAGCCAGAUGUGAAAUCCCCGGGCUUAACCUGGGAAUGGCAUUUGGGACUGCAAGGCUGGAGUGCGGCAGAGGAGACUGGAAUUCCUGGUGUAGCAGUGAAAUGCGUAGAUAUCAGGAGGAAUACCGAUGGCGAAGGCAGGUCUCUGGGCUGACACUGACGCUCAUGCACGAAAGCGUGGGGAGCAAACAGG
rnacentral:rRNA from 1 species